rnacentral:rRNA from 1 species
AGUAAAAGUCGUAACAAGGUCUCCGUUGGUGAACCAGCGGAGGGAUCAUUACAGAGUUAUACAACUCCCAUACCAUUUGUAAACUUUACUCAGUUAUGCCUCGGCGUCAGCUCAGUAAGGAGGCAGAGUGGUGUUACCCUGUAGCCUACCCUGUAGGUUACCCUGUAGCGCUACCCUGUACCAACUCCUGCUGCGGCCCGCCGGUGGUACACUAAACUCUUGUUUUAUUUUAUAUUCUGAGCGUAUUAUUUUAAUAAUUAAAACUUUCAACAACGGAUCUCUUGGUUCUGGCAUCGAUGAAGAACGCAGCGAAAUGCGAUAAGUAAUGUGAAUUCCAGAAUUCAGUGAAUCAUCGAAUCUUUGAACGCACAUUGCGCCCAUCAGUAUUCUGGUGGGCAUGCCUGUUCGAGCGUCAUUUCAACCCUUAAGCCUAGCUUAGUGUUGGGAAUCUACUGUAUUGUAGUUCCUUAAAGACAGUGGCGGAGCGAUAGUUGUCCUCUGAGCGUAGUAAAUUUAUUUCUCGCUUCUGUAAGGCUCUAUUCUCCCGCCAUAAAACCCCCAAUUUUUUAGUGGUUGACCUCGGAUCAGGUAGGAAUACCCGCUGAACUUAAGCAUAUCAAUAAGCGGAGGAAAAGAAACCAACAGGGAUUGCCCUAGUAACG